GAUGAACGCUGGCGGCGUGCCUAAUACAUGCAAGUCGAGCGAACAGACGAGGAGCUUGCUCCUCUGACGUUAGCGGCGGACGGGUGAGUAACACGUGGAUAACCUACCUAUAAGACUGGGAUAACUUCGGGAAACCGGAUCUAAUACCGGAUAAUAUAUUGAACCGCAUGGUUCAAUAGUGAAAGACGGUCUUGCUGUCACUUAUAGAUGUAUCCGCGCCGCAUUAGCUAGUUGGUAAGGUAACGGCUUACCAAGGCGACGAUGCGUAGCCGACCUGAGAGGGUGAUCAGCCACACUGGAACUGAGACACGGUCCAGACUCCUACGGGAGGCAGCAGUAGGGAAUCUUCCGCAAUGGGCGAAAGCCUGACGGAGCAACGCCGCGUGAGUGAUGAAGGUCUUCGGAUCGUAAAACUCUGUUAUUAGGGAAGAACAAGUGUGUAAGUAACUAUGCACGUCUUGACGGUACCUAAUCAGAAAGCCCCGGCUAACUACGUG
rnacentral:rRNA from 1 species